rnacentral:rRNA from 1 species
UAGGGAAUCUUCGGCAAUGGGGGCAACCCUGACCGAGCAACGCCGCGUGAGUGAAGAAGGUUUUCGGAUCGUAAAGCUCUGUUGUAAGAGAAGAACGUGUGUGAGAGUGGAAAGUUCACACAGUGACGGUAACUUACCAGAAAGGGACGGCUAACUACGUGCCAGCAGCCGCGGUAAUACGUAGGUCCCGAGCGUUGUCCGGAUUUAUUGGGCGUAAAGCGAGCGCAGGCGGUUUAAUAAGUCUGAAGUUAAAGGCAGUGGCUUAACCAUUGUUCGCUUUGGAAACUGUUAAACUUGAGUGCAGAAGGGGAGAGUGGAAUUCCAUGUGUCGCGGUGAAAUGCGUAGAUAUAUGGAGGAACACCGGUGGCGAAAGCGGCUCUCUGGUCUGUAACUGACGCUGAGGCUCGAAAGCGUGGGGAGCAAACAGG